rnacentral:rRNA from 1 species
UACGGAGGUCUCAAGCGUUGUUCGGAUUCAUUGGGCGUAAAGGGUGCGUAGGCGGCGCGGUGAGUCGGGUGUGAAAUCUUGGAGCUUAACUCCGAAACUGCAUUCGAUACUGCCGUGCUUGAGGACUGGAGAGGAGACUGGAAUUUACGGUGUAGCGGUGAAAUGCGUAGAUAUCGUAAGGAAGACCAGUGGCGAAGGCGGGUCUCUGGACAGUUCCUGACACUGAGACACGAAGGCCAGGGGAGCAAACGGG